rnacentral:rRNA from 1 species
GACGAACGCUGGCGGCGUGCUUAACACAUGCAAGUCGAACGGAAAGGCCCUGCUUUUGUGGGGUGCUCGAGUGGCGAACGGGUGAGUAACACGUGAGUAACCUGCCCUUGACUUUGGGAUAACUUCAGGAAACUGGGGCUAAUACCGGAUAGGAGCUCCUGCUGCAUGGUGGGGGUUGGAAAGUUUCGGCGGUUGGGGAUGGACUCGCGGCUUAUCAGCUUGUUGGUGGGGUAGUGGCUUACCAAGGCUUUGACGGGUAGCCGGCCUGAGAGGGUGACCGGCCACCUUGGGACUGAGAUACGGCCCAGACUCCUACGGGAGGCAGCAGUGGGGAAUAUUGCGCAAUGGGCGGAAGCCUGAUGCAGCAACGCCGCGUGCGGGAUGACGGCCUUCGGGUUGUAAACCGCUUUGGCCUGUGACGAAGCGUGAGUGACGGUAAUGGGUAAAGAAGCACCGGCUAACUACGUG